AUUGAACGCUGGCGGCAGGCCUAACACAUGCAAGUCGAGCGAGCGGCGGACGGGUGAGUAAUGUAUGGGGACUGCCCGAUAGAGGGGGAUAACUACUGGAAACGGUAUCUAAUACCGCAUACUAUCGGAUAACCCAUAUUGGAUUAGCUAGUAGGUGAGUUAAUGGAUCACAUAGGCGACGAUCCCUAGCUGAUCUGAGAGGAUGAUCAGCCACACUGGGACUGAGACACGGCCCAGACUCCUACGGAGGCAGCAGUGGGGAAUAUUGCGCAAUGGGCGCAAGCCUGAUGCAGCCAUGCCGCGUGUAUGAAGAAGGCCCUAGGGUUGUAAAGUACUUUUAGUCGGGAAGCGUUACCGACAGAGGAAGCACCGGCUAACUCCGUGCCAGCAGCCGCGGUAAUAC
rnacentral:rRNA from 1 species